CUCAUGGUAGCAUAUUUUAAAAAAAAAAGGUUUCCGUGUGGGAAAUAAUUUUUAAAAGAUUUUUCUUGGUUUUUAUGACUUAGUAUUUUAAAAUGAAUUUUCAGGUAGGAAACAUUUUAAACUAAUAGUUAUGCAUUUAUGGAUUAACUCUGAAUGUCAAUGGUGUAUGAAUGUGUGUAUACUCAUAUGUGGUGGUUGUAUCCUGUAUUAUGUAUCUUAUACUUGUGCAACGCCGUGCAAAUACAGGGCAGA
rnacentral:lncRNA from 1 species